rnacentral:rRNA from 1 species
GAGGGGCAGCGGGAGUGCUUGCACUCGCCGGCGACCGGCGCACGGGUGCGGAACGCGUAUCGAAUCUACCUCUAUCUGGGGGAUACCCCAUGGAAACGUGGAAUAAUACCCCAUAGUAUUACUUUUUCGCAUGAUUUAGUAAUUAAAGAAUUUCGGAUAGAGAUGACGAUGCGUAUCAUUAGCUAGUAGGUAAGGUAACGGCUUACCUAGGCUACGAUGAUUAGGGGUCCUGAGAGGGAGAUCCCCCACACUGGUACUGAGACACGGACCAGACUCCUACGGGAGGCAGCAGUGAGGAAUAUUGGACAAUGGUCGAAAGACUGAUCCAGCCAUGCCGCGUGCAGGAUGACUGCCCUAUGGGUUGUAAACUGCUUUUAUACGGGAAGAAAAACACCUACGUGUAGGUGACUGACGGUACCGUAAGAAUAAGGACCGGCUAACUCCGUGCCAGCAGCCGCGGUAAUACGGAGGGUCCAAGCGUUAUCCGGAAUCAUUGGGUUUAAAGGGUCCGUAGGCGGAUAAUUAAGUCAGAGGUGAAAUCUUGCAGCUCAACUGUAAAAUUGCCUUUGAUACUGGUUAUCUUGAGUUAUUAUGAAGUAGUUAGAAUAUGUAGUGUAGCGGUGAAAUGCAUAGAUAUUACAUAGAAUACCAAUUGCGAAGGCAGAUUACUAAUAAUCAACUGACACUGAUGGACGAAAGCGUGGGUAGCGAACAGGAUUAGAUACCCUGGUAGUCCACGCCGUAAACGAUGGUUACUAGCUGUUUGGACCUUGUGUCUGAGUGGCUAAGCGAAAGUGAUAAGUAACCCACCUGGGGAGUACGUUCGCAAGAAUGAAACUCAAAGGAAUUGACGGGGGCCCGCACAAGCGGUGGAGCAUGUGGUUUAAUUCGAUGAUACGCGAGGAACCUUACCAGGGCUUAAAUGGAAAAUGACAGGGGCAGAGACGCCCCCUUCUUCGGACAUUUUUCAAGGUGCUGCAUGGUUGUCGUCAGCUCGUGCCGUGAGGUGUCAGGUUAAGUCCUAUAACGAGCGCAACCCCUACCGUUAGUUGCCAGCGUGUAAUGACGGGGACUCUAACGGAACUGCCGGUGCAAACCGUGAGGAAGGUGGGGACGACGUCAAAUCAUCACGGCCCUUACGUCCUGGGCCACACACGUGCUACAAUGGUAGGU